CAACGGAUAUCUUGGCUCUUGCAACGAUGAAGAACGCAGCGAAGUGCGAUAAGUAAUGUGAAUUGCAGAAUUCCGUGAAUCAUCGAAUCUUUGAACGCAAAUUGCACUCUUUGGUAUUCCGAAGAGUAUGCCUGUUUGAGGGUCAGUCAAAUAAAAAUCGGGGUUGUUGCUGCCUUCGGUGGUGACGCUUCGGAACUGGGUCGUCUUUGCCUUCGGUUAAGUGACCUAAAAUUUCGGAUGAUUUUUCGAACGUAUUUAAUUUUUUUUAUGUACGUUUGUAUAUCGAAUAUUAGAUGCGGUCAUUUCCAUGAUUCGCGUCCAUAAUUAUUUUCAUCAAAUGACCUCAAAUCAGGUAAGAGUACCCGCUGAACUUAAGCAUAUCAAUAAGCGGAGGAAAAGAAAAUAACAAUGAUUCCCUUAGUAACGGCGAGUGAAGGGGGAUAAGCUCAAAUUUUAAAUCUGACUAGGUUUUACCUAUCAGAGUUGUAUUUUGAAGAAGCGUUUUCCGCGUCUCGGUUGGCCCAAGUCCUUUGGGAUAAGGCAUCAUGGAGGGUGAGAAUCCCGUUCGGUUGACCUUAUGACGUUUUACGAUACGCUUUCAAAGAGUCGAGUUGUUUGGGAUUGCAGCUCAAAAUGGGAGGUAAAUUUCUCCUAAGGCUAAAUAUUGGCGAGAGACCGAUAGCGAACAAGUACCGUGAGGGAAAGAUGAAAAGAACUUUGAAAAGAGAGUAAAAUAGUACGUGAAAUUGUUGAAAGGGAAACGAUUGAAGUCAGUCGUAUCGACGAGAAAUCAACUUUUCGAGUGCGAAUUUGUGGGCGUGCGUGAGCUGUUAAAGGCCUCGCUGUUUGCAAUUAGUGCUUUUUGGGUGUACUUUUUCGUAUGGUAGGCCAACGUCAGUUUCGAUCACCAUAAAAUGAUCGGAGGAAUGUAGCUUCGAUCUCGUAUUGAAGUGUUAUAGCCUUUGGUAGAUGUGGUGAUCGAAACUGAGGAUUGCAACGAAUACCCUCUGGGCUAUCCGUCUGACCUCUGGAAGUUGCUUGGGUGCCGAAAGCUUGCUUAUGGUAUUUAAGACGACGGUCAAAAGGUUAGAACGUGAUUACAUUCGUUAAGGACGUUGGCGUAAUGGCUUUAAACGACCCGUCUUGAAACACGGACCAAGGAGUCUAACAUAUAUGCGAGUGUUC
rnacentral:rRNA from 1 species